GAGUGGGUACCGAGCCCGGGGCCGUGGGGUGCCAUGCUGCCCGGGUGGCGGCGCUGAAGCAUGGCGACGCCCGUCCCUCCGCCUUCCCCGCGGCACCUGCGGCUGCUGCGGCUGCUGCUCUCCGGCCUUAUUCUGGGAGCGGCCCUGAAUGGUGCCACCGCCCGCCGCCCGGAUGCUCCCACCUGCCCUGGAAGCCUGGAUUGUGCACUGAAGAGGCGGGCAAAGUGCCCACCAGGGGCACAUGCCUGCGGACCAUGCCUUCAGUCCUUCCAGGAGGACCAGAGAGGGGUCUGUGUGCCGAGGAAGCACCAAUCUUCUGGGGAGGGCCUGCCCCAGCCCAGACUGGAAGAGGAGAUCGAUUCUCUGGCCCGGGAGCUGGCACUGAAGGAGAAGGAGGCUGGGCACCCAAGGCUCACAGCACAGCCCUUGCCUGAGGCUUCCCAGAAGCUCCUGGAACCUGCUACCCUGGGAUUCUCACAGUGGGGUCAACAACUGGAGCCUGGCCUCCCCUCUACUCACGGAACCUCUUCGCCCACACCCCACACCUCCUUGAGCGCCCGGGCAUCCUCUGGGCCUGUGCAGAUGUCCCCGCUGGAGCCUCAAGGCCGUGGAAAUGGCCUCGCCCUUGUACUGAUCCUGGCGUUCUGCUUGGCAAGCACAGCUGCACUGGCUGUGGCAGCCCUCUGCUGGUGUAGGCUUCAGCGAGAGAUCCGCCUGACUCAGAAGGCUGACUACACUGCCACAGCCAAGG
rnacentral:lncRNA from 1 species